GAUGAACGCUAGCGGCAGGCUUAAUACAUGCAAGUCGAGGGGCAGCAGGUCUGUAGCAAUACAGAUGCUGGCGACCGGCAAACGGGUGCGGAACACGUACAGAACCUUCCUUCAAGUGGGAGAUAGCCCAGGGAAACUUGGAGUAAUAUCCCAUAGGAUAGUGGAGUGGCAUCACUCAGCUAUUAAAGAUUCAUCGCUUGAAGAUGGCUGUGCGGCUGAUUAGGUAGUUGGCGGGGUAACGGCCCACCAAGCCUAUGAGCAGUAACUGGUGUGGGAGCACGACCAGUCACACGGGCACUGAGAAACGGGCCCGACUCCUACGGGAGGCAGCAGUAAGGAAUAUUGGGCAAUGGAGGCAACUCUGACCCAGCAAUGCCGCGUGGAGGAUGAAGGUCCUCUGGAUUGUAAACUUCUUUUAUUUGGGAAGAAAUGCCGACUUUCUAGUUGGUUUGACGGUACCAGAUGAAUAAGCACCGGCUAACUCCGUGCCAGCCGCCGCAGUAAAAC
rnacentral:rRNA from 1 species